AAAUAUUUUGGGAAGCAAACAUAAAAUAUAGUCAUUGACAGUUUUGGUGGGCAUUUUCUCUGAAUUUACUUACCAUAAGAACUGGAACAGUUUUUCUAGGAGUAAUUUUUGUUUUCUUCUCUUUACAGGAAAACAAAGAAGAACAAGCAGAAAACACCUGGGAAUGGAGAUGGUGGCAGUACCAGUGAGACACCUCAGCCUCCUAGGAAGAAGAGAGCCCGGGUAGAUCCUACAGUUGAAAAUGAAGAAACAUUCAUGAACAGAGUGGAAGUUAAAGUAAAGAUUCCGGAAGAGCUGAAACCAUGGCUUGUUGAUGACUGGGACUUGAUUACCAGACAAAAGCAG